rnacentral:rRNA from 1 species
AACGAACGCUGGCGGCAGGCCUAACACAUGCAGGUCGAACGAACCCUUCGGGGUUAGUGGCGGACGGGUGAGUAACACGUGGGAACGUGCCUUUAGGUUCGGAAUAACUCAGGGAAACUUGUGCUAAUACCGAAUGUGCCCUUCGGGGGAAAGAUUUAUUGCCUUUAGAGCGGCCCGCGUCUGAUUAGCUAGUUGGUGAGGUAAUGGCUCACCAAGGCUACGAUCAGUAGCUGGUCUGAGAGGAUGACCAGCCACAUUGGGACUGAGACACGGCCCAAACUCCUACGGGAGGCAGCAGUGGGGAAUCUUGCGCAAUGGGCGAAAGCCUGACGCAGCCAUGCCGCGUGGAUGAUGAAGGUCUUAGGAUUGUAAAAUCCUUUCACCGGUGAAGAUAAUGACUGUAGCCGGAGAAGAAGCCCCGGCUAACUUCGUGCCAGCAGCCGCAGUAACAC